CCCAGUUCGUGUAGAGACGUAUCUAUGAGCGCCCGAUUGGUAUCUCAUAUUUCAGCAACACGCUCUCAGUGGCAAUUGCAGGGUUUGGAAGUUCACUAGGCAAAUAGAAUGUAUGUGUAAUCAUCGCGAGGAUACCCGAACCUAAGAACGCUGAUGGCCAAUAGAAGGCAGGCAGCGUGCGCCUCCACCAACCACCAACGUUGGCUGACUGCUGGCUGGUUGGGAAAAUAGCGCGAGAUUCCGUCCCGCACCCAGAACCCGUUGCAGCAUCAUGAUCGCCCUCCAACAUCAUCACUCCUCUCGAAAUACUCUGAUCGGCAUUCGGCCGCAGUAAGUACUCUUCGUUCCGAUGCGCUGCUGGUUGGCUGGCUGAGGCGGUUCGACUGCACCCUAAUCCCAAUUUCUGUCUCUCGAUCAUCUUUCAAGUCAAGAUGUUUCAACAUCUAUCGCGGUAAUUUCGCGCGAGACAUCAACAUCGAAUGCCACCGUUGGCUGUCAGUGUCGCGAAGUGAAUUUUCCUAGUGGAUCCCUGAAGAAACAAUUUCCAAACGGUGCUCCCCAGUAGUGGUCCGUGAAGUUCAGGACAAGAACGUUCAGUAUUUGGAGCAUUUGACCCCAGGCCCAGCCGACGAUAAAUCACGCUCAUCAUCGGCCACCGUAAAGUUACCGUGCCGUCAUUGUCCUCCUCGUCGUCGUCGCUGUUUCGCAAAAGUGCUUUGUUUCCAAAAGUGCAGCAAUUUAUUUGUCUUGAGUACAGUGUUUUGUGAUUCGUGGUGUCAACACAGGGAUUGGCGACUCCCAAGCAGCUCCUCCCAGCCGUUGGCGAAAAGUCUAGUUCUGAUUGAACAAACUAUUGGCAGCAGCCGUAAGACACGAAGCCGACCCCUUCAGAUUCUUAUACCCAGUGUCUUGAGUUGGAAGUGUGCUCCGGAGAACCCAAAGAAGUUUUCGUUCCCCGAAGAGGUGCUGAGCAGCGUUCAAGAUGAACAUGUUAAGAUUAUUUCUUGCGGGGGUGCUGCUGACAAUGGAAAUGCUGUGUGAACAUUUUGUCGAGUUCACGUCCAACUAUCGUACCAACUCACAGAUUGAUUACGCCUUCCGGUACUAUAUCGACCAUCCACAAACGGGUGUUUCAUUGGACCACUGGGAAAAUCGUCGUGGAGACUACGUCCAUGGAGGCUACGGUGUCCUUGAACCAGGAGGAUAUGUCCGUACUGUCCAUUACGAGGUAGAAGGCAACAGUGGAUUCCGAACAGUGAUCAAAACCACCGCCCCAGGGAGCUCCUUGCAGUACAACAUCCACAGUGGCAAAAAGUCCCAGCCACCUCAGCCGUUGUGGAAUGCACAGCCAGUUGCAUUCGUGCAAAGCGGCCAUUAAUCAUAGCGCCAUCAUCCUCCAAAGGGUAUUUCGCAAACCCACCGCCAGCAUCUCCACCGUCAUCAGCAACCCAAAGAUCCCCGUUGCAGACAGCAUCCUCAUCUCACUGCGCUCUUCUGUGUAGCACCGGGCGACGAUGAAACAAAUCGAAUACCUAUACCGCCGAGGCGUUAAUUGUCCCUUGCCAUGCCUAUAACCGUUUAUUAGUGUAGAUUUAUUGUAAAUAAAUAAAGUAAUUGUAGUCGUACUGUCACAGCUGGGAAAGA